GGCAACCCACUCCAGUGUUCUUGCCUGGAGAAUCCCAGGGACGGGGGAGCCUGGUGGGCUGCCGUCUAUGGGGUUGCACAGAGUCGGACAUGACUGAAGCGACUUAGCAGCAGCAGCAGUCUACUGUUACAGGCAGGAUUGAUGACUUUGUAGUCAUAUUUGUAUUUUGUUUUUUCUUGUAGUCAUAUUUGAAAAAGUAGGUCAGAGGUCCUUACAGUAGGGUCCCAUGAAGGCAUUGCAAGGGAAGGUUAAGUAUAUAUACUUUUACGUUACUCCUACUUUUACCCCACUAGUCUUCUUGGGAAAGAAACCAGAAGAGAUUCCAGCUGGCUGUUUUGUCAAAAAGAAACUAACACUGGGGCAAUAAAGACCCCUUCCCCCCUCAGUCCAGAUGGGUACAAAGGAGGCUUGGGAGAUGUGGACUGGCCCUGAGCAACAGUCUCAUACCCUGUAGCAAAAGUAGUGCUUGAAACCACCAGAAAGGCUCCUGGUACCAUGCAUAAGCAAUGUGAAAAAGUCUGGCAGAGGCCAUCUAGAAGCAUCAGGCCCGACAAAGGGGAUAAAGCCCCAUAACACCAGAGACCAGACAGAGUGAUAAAACAGCACUAAGUUGCUUAGUUUUUAUUUCCAGGAAGAGCCAUCAGCAGUCACUGAGUUUUUACCCCAUUUAUGAAAGAACACGUUUCAGUGCAGUUAGGAGACAGAAUGGUCCAGGGAAAUUCAACAACAAAAUGGUUAAUGAAAAAUGACUCAGGCCUACCCUCACCCCCCACACCAUCUCUGACAAACAAGUGAAUGUCCUUAAUUCAUCACUGAAACACUUUGAGCAUCCCAGAAACUUCUGUGUUAAGAAACCAAAACUGAUGGCUCACCAGGAUCCAAACCUGCUUCAGGGAGAUUUCCCCAGGUGGAAAGGAUGAGAAGAGAAAAUGCUAAGUUUCUGAAAUGUAGGCAGUGGUAACCCACUCCAGUAUUUAUGCCUGGAAAAUUCCAGGGACGGCUGGGGCUGGCGGGUUACAGUCCAUGAGUUUCACAGUCGACGCGACUGUGCACGCUGCACACACCGUACGCACGCACGCCAGGAUGUGUUUAGGACCUAAAGAGGAGAAACGGUCUUUGCCUCUCCACCCCAACUUCCCCUCUAGGCAGGAAAACGUUCUAAAUCCAUCAGAGGGUGAAGCUUCUCUUGAGGCUGUUUCCCAUUCUCUUGGGAGAGAGGCCAGGUUAAGUCUGGGAACCCUGCCACAGCCACUGGAACAAGAGCGAGGAGCCUGGGUUUCUCUGAGGAGCUCUCGUCUUCAGGAAGAUUUCCAGAAGCCAAAACGUCAGUCCUUUCUCAGGUUUAGGCAAAAAAACGAGGCUGCGGGUCCCACAGCUUAGCUUCUGGCGGCAUCUGGGAGCGGGCGCAGCGCGCCUAGGACCUUGUGAGCCCCACCAGCUGGUCCCUUCGAGGAUGGCUCCGAGCCGGCCCGGGAGGAGCAAGGACUAGUGUGUGUGUGUUGGGGGCGGGGGGUGCUCGACGGCCCUGUCCCAGCAAACCUUUCCCCCUCCACGAGGGCCUGGGGCCGCCUUGCGCAGGCAGUCCGCACCUGCCGCGCCCCGCUCGCUGGCCCUCCAGGGCCUUGCCUGGCUGCUCCCAUUCUCAGGCCCGCCCUCCGCGCAGGCCCGGCCCGGGCCGCCCCGGACCUCGCCCAGUCUUCGGCUCUGACUCCUGGCGCAGGGCCAGGACGGCCGAGCAGCACAGUUUUCCCCUCCUUCCACCGCGAGAAGUUCCUGGCGGCGCGACUACACUCUCCGAAGCUUCCCAGUCCGCAGGUGCGCGCGCUCACCCGCAGUCAGACUCUCCCUCGUGGUCCAGCAGGAGGCGAGCUGGAUGGGGAACUGAUGGCAGAGGAGACCAAGGAGACAGGUGCAGAGUGGAUGCACCCUGGACUAGGAAAGGAGCAGUAAGGAGGAAGUGGAGCUGAGGUCAGACCUUCAGGAUGCAGCGCCUACAGGACUUCACGUGGAUCCAGGCCGAAGUCUUCGGAUGACCUCCAGGGGCACUGAAAAUCUGUCCCUGGUUUGUCUUUGCUCUGGUCUCCACUAGUCGCCCCUACGGCAACCAUCCAGGGACCUCGACGCUUCCCAGGGACAUACAUUCUGACACCAGAGAGCCUGUGCUCACUUCCCCUUUGCCUAGACUGCCUUUCCCCUGCUUCCCCCACACUUCAAAGGCCAGCUCAGAAGUCACACUUGCCCGUUCCCUAUUAUCCAAGCACUCAUAAAGCCCUCUGUGAACUCAUUUUGGCUCUCACACACCCAACUGUGGCUUGUUCCUAUUCCUAAAUACCCAGCACAACAACGUGAAAUUUGCAAAAUCAAUGAAUACUGUUUUUUCGGGGAGGGGGUUGCUAUUCACAGGAUUUUUGGGGUCUCAAAUGGCGACCAGGGAUUGAACCUGGGCCGUGGCAGUGAAAGUCUGGAAUGCUAACCACUAGGCCACCACGGAACUCCCUCAAUGAAUACUUUUGAAAAGAGUAUGACUGCAGGUCAUAUAUUCUGAGACUUUAUGAACACUGGGGUAAAAAUGGAUGUUAAUGCCAUGAACUUGAGAGCUAUCCAGUAUGCUCAUCUGACAUUCCCCCUCAACUUCUUCCACCAUCCAUUCUACCCUAAGGAUUGAAAGAUGUCUCAACAAAUGCUAAUUUGUAAAUAACAAAAUUGUUAAUAAGAUACAAAACUGUAUUUACAAUGUAACUUACCUAUUUUAAAGAUACAUGCAAUAUACCAAAGUGUUGACAGUCCAUCAUUAGUCAAUAAAAUUUGAGUGCUUUUAUCUUUU